CUUCGCGCUGCCUAGGAGACGGGACGCGAGGCCCUCGGCUGACAGGGCCCGGCUGGCCGCGCCCACCCGGUCGCCAUGGAGCUGCCCCCAGGGCCGCGCGACGAUCCCCGCGCCUGGGAAGAUGACUCGGACCCGGAGUCGGAGCCCGACCCGGACGCGCAGGCCGAGGCUUACGUGGCCCGCGUACUCAGUCCGCCGAAAGUCGGGCAGCCGCCCCCACGCGCCCCUUUGCUGUCCGCACCCGUCGCAUCCCCUGGCGCCCUGGAGCCGCGGGCGGCGUCCAAGGGUGCGCCCGUGGGGGUCCCGGGACUGCUGAGCCUUCCUCCGGAGCUGCUGCUCGAGAUCUGCGCCUACCUAGACGCGCGCCUGGUGCUCCACGUCCUGCCGCGCGUGUGCCACACGCUGCGCGACCUCGUGCGUGACCAUGUCACCUGGAGGCUACGCGCGCAGCGCCGCGUACGCGCGCCCUACCCAGUGGUGGAAGAGGAGGACUUUGACUGGCCAACAGCCUGCAUCGAGCUGGAGCAACACCUGUCGCGCUGGGCGGAGGAUGGGCGCUGGGCUGAGUACUUCUGCUUGGCUGAUGGGCACUUUGCUUCCAUUGACUCGGUGCUGCUGCUCCAGGGUGGAGCGCUUUGUCUGUCAGGCUCCCGAGAUCGCAACGUCAACCUGUGGGAUCUGCGGCAGCUGGGGGUGGAGUCCAGCCAGGUUCUAGUCAAGGCCCUGGGCACCGAGAAGAACAGCACCCACAAGGGCUGGGUGUGGUCGCUGGCAGCGCUGGACCACCGCGUGUGCUCUGGUUCCUGGGACAGCACGGUGAAGCUCUGGGACAUGGCGGCCGAUGGACAGCAGUUCGGCGAGAUAAAGGGCAAGGCAGCUGUGCUGUGCUUGUCCUACCGGCCUGACAUCCUGGUGACUGGCACCUAUGACAAGAAGGUGACCGUCUACGACCCCAGAGUCGGCCCGGCGCUGCUGAAGAGCCGGCGGCUGCACUCCAGUGCGGUGCUGGCGCUGCUGGCGGACGACCGACACAUCAUCUCGGGCAGCGAGGACCACACGCUCGUGGUGUUCGACCGCCGGGCCAACAGCGUCCUGCAGCGGCUGCAGCUGGACUCCUACCUGCUCUGCAUGUCCUACCAGGAGCCCCAGCUCUGGGCUGGUGACAACCAGGGCCUGCUGCAUGUCUUCGCCAACCACAACGGCCGCUUCCAGCUUGUCCGGUCUUUUGAUGUGGGCCACAGGUCUCAGAUUACAGGGAUCAAACACUCGCUGGGGGCCUUGUACACCACGUCCACCGACAAGACCAUCCGGGUGCAUGUGCCCACGGAUCCGCCGAGGACCAUCUGCACCCGAAGCCACAACAAUGUGCUGAAUGGGAUCUGCGCGGAGGGCAACCUGGUGGUCGCCGCCUCCGGGGGCCUAUCGCUGGAGGUCUGGAGGCUGCAGGCCUGAGCGGGCAGACGCCGACAUGGAGGGGGAUCUGCCGGCCCACAGGCUGGGCCGUGGCCUCUGUUCUCGGGGGACCUUCCCCGCAUGCUGGUGCUGCCUCUGCCCUGUCCCGAAGCCCUGAGGCACAAGGAGUCCGGGCCAUGGCCUCCUGGGCGGUUGGGGCCGUGGAGGUCACAGGAUGGCGCAGGGCUUCUUCUCCUUGAAGGGGUUGGCAGCCGCUGGGAUGCCCACAAGGAAGGGGUCGCUCUUGGCCUGCUCCGUGCAGAACUGCAGCAGGUCGGCAGCCGCCUUGGACACCUGCAGGCCGGCCUGGUCAGCCAGGCCAGGGCUGGCCGCCUGCCCCCUCGCCCAGACACGCCCGUGCCACCCUGGCCCUCACCUUCACGCGCUCGAUGCCCGCCUCCAUCCGCAGUUGCUCCACGGCCCGGCGGGCCUGUCCGAUGUCGCUGCCGGUGGCCCCCUUGCUGGACAUCUGCAGGGAAGUGAGCAGGGUCACAGGCAGUGGGCUCCAUUCCCGACCCCUAGCCGUACGGCUACCCGAGAGUCCCCUAACCGCCUCCUGUGUCCCCCCCUGGGGACUGUGGGACGGGGGUGGCGGGACCCCGACCCGUCAGGAUCACAUACUUCAGCUGAGGCCUCCGGCUGAUGCCCGACUGCUCAGUCCUCCAGCAGCCUGGCCCUGGCUCCCUCCCCUGCCAGCCUGGCCUCUCCAGCCCCGCUCUGUUCCCUCCCCCACCCCUGCAGAGACUUUGAAGCCAGGACACUCAUGGAGUGAAAUGUCACCAGCAGCAGCAGCUGCCUCAGCUGAGGGGGUCCCUGCCCCAGGGGGCCCAGUGGCUGCCCUGGUGUCACAUGUCACCUUGGCUGGGCGAGCGGAGGGGCCCUGGCCUCUCACUGACCUGCUUGAUCCUCUGCCAGUGGCCCCCAACACUCCUCCUUUGCCGGCCUCUGCCCCCGACCACGUCCAGAGUGUACCUUGGCUCAGGGGCAGCCCUGCCUCUCCCCUCUGUCUACACUCACCACGCAGGAUCUUAUCCACAGAUAACUCCAUCCACUUGCUUAUGCUGAUGGCUCCCUCUGUCCCCAUCCCCGAGCCUUCCCUGAUUUCAGAUCCACCCGAAGAGCCUCCUGCCUCCUCAGUCUGUCAUCCUGGGAUCUCGGGUCUCUCGCCUAGCUCGGCCAAAGCUGGACUCGGGAUUAUCUUCUCCCAGACCUUCUACCCCCCAAUUCACCACCACCAUCCACUCAAAUUCCCUGGCCCAAAUCUUCAACUCCUUCGAUCCUCUCUUUCUGGUGUCACCACAUCUGAUCCUUCCUCAGGAGCCAUCAGGUCAACUUCAAAUUAGGUUCUCAGUCUGGUCACUUCUCUCCAUGUCUGUUGGCAUGUCCCAGGUCCUGCUCCCAUCUCUGCUGGCCUGGACCAGCGCAGGCGUCUCUGCCCUCAUCUUCCCUGCUCUGCCCUUCCCCACUGCCCCCGUUCUCCUCAAGGCAGCCAGUGGGGUCUGGUAAAAAAUAAAUCACAUUGCAACAUGGAUAAACCUUGAGGACGUAUGUUAAAUGAAAUAAGCCAGUCACAAAAUGACCAAUAAUGUAUGAUCCCGUCUAUGUGAGGUCCCUAGGGGAGUCAAAUCCAGAGACAGAAAGUAGAUGGUGGGUGGCAG